ACCAAGGUCAAGUCCCAUGCAGUGCUCUUGUUCUUGGAAUUCCAUCAUGUUUUGCAUGAUCACUUCUCUAUCUCACCCCUGUGGUUACUGUCACCAUAUAAUCUACUGUUACAGUUACAUUGAAACUGGUUUGCCACAAUGUUCCUGGUCACCAAGAUCUCUGGGUUUGCAUAUAUUUUCAGCUGCAUUUUUAAGCUGAGUCCCUGCUAUCUGCCGCACACCCUGUGGAGGGCUUUGGUGAGUGGUGGCUGGAACUGGUCCUGGAUGAGCCAUCAACUGCCAUCACUUACCCAGCCCACUGGCACUCGCCCAGUGUACUGCGGGGACUCAAUGAAUGCUGGUUGAGUGGAGAGCGGAAUUCUCAGGCUUGGUCCCUUUCUGUGGACUUGGCAAGUGUGAGACCAUCCAGGUGCUCCACAGGACAGUCUGGCCACAGGUGGAAAGGGCAGCGUACCUCUUCCUCCUCACAGACCGGCUCAGGCUUGACUUCACACGGAUGCCCCUCUGCACGCCAGCCAGGUUAGGACGGUGGGAAAAAGCCCUCUCGGGCCUCAGUACCUCCUCCUCCUCUUGUCAGCUGCAUCUUAGCCGCACGGUGACCCUGCGCCCUGCAGCUGGAGACGUCGUGUGGUGACAGACCACUGAGGACUCGGUGUAAGACUACAGGUGCCUUUGUUUCCAGGACCUGCCCAGGAGGCUGGUGUACAGCACCGUGAGAUAGCGUGGCAGAGCUGCGAGCAGGUCUUUGUGGCUUGGCGUAAUCAUGCGCGUGUUCUAGACAGUCUGUUUUGCACAAACAGAAGAAUUCCCAGCCAUGUAUUAGAGGCAGAAAUCAGGAGGACUAGAUAAGUGCGUCUGUUCAGAUCAGAGCUAAUCUGCUACAGAAACCUGCACAGACUCGCAGCUUCUCCCAGGCGUGGAAUUGCAGAAGGAGCAAAGAAGCAGGAGCCUGAGUCCCCAGGCAGAAUUGCGACUGCACUGCCAAGGUCAUCCCAGUGCUCUGCUGUGCACAGUCACUUAGUCUCCGAGUGCCACUGAUAUCCCUGGAGAGCAGAGACCCGCCCAGGGUGACCACUGGAGGACGCCUUGCUGGUGAGUGGGCAGCCAGGGCCCUCCCCGCAUUGCCCUAGGUGCUUGUUCAGCCUUUGCACUCCCCGCCUCCCCUUAGGAUUAAGGAGCCCAACAUUCUGUUCUGCUGGGGCAUCAGGCCACUGUAUGAGGCCCAAGUCAUGAAAGAUGGAGCUGGUUGUGAUGAUGAUGUGGGUGGGCGGCAGGCCCCUGCAGAAUCAACGAGCCCUGUGCCUGCAAGAAGAGCUGCUAGAGGGGUUGGACAUCCAGGCUCCCAGACAUCGGUGUCACCAGCAGCCGUGGAGCUCUGCAGACGACCAGGUGUCUUUUCUGAGAAGUCCAGGCGCAGCUACAGACCCCUAUUGCUUCCAUGACCAGCUCUGUGUGCCUCGUCCAGGCUCCACAGCCAAGUUAAUUGUGUCAAACAGGUUGGGUCUCAGCCUUCCUCUGCCCAAACCCCACCUCCCCUGGUCCCCAUCACUUGGGCAGGAUCCAGUCUGGCUGCAGCCUGUAGGACCCAUGUUGCCAGCUGGUCACCGCUCCUGUCCCCACAUUCCUCUCACUGGACCCAUCCCCAAGCUGCUCAGAGCACAGGCAUCUCCUCCUGUCCCUGAUCGUAGGACUUUAUUUCUCUAUGCCUCGCUCCUGAUUCUGUCAUCUUGGUACAUAUCCGUGGUGGCACAGAAAACCCUCACCCGAGGGGACUGUUCCUGCCGCUGUCCCACUGGCCCACCUUGGCCUUCCUCUUGGUACCUGUCACCCCACCUGGGCUGUUUUCGUGCACUGCCUGCCUCCACAGCCCCACCCAGAUGUCAGACCCAGGGAUGAGGGGCCGCACGUAGGAAUUGCACGGACACAGAACCAGAAGCCGUAGCCCAAAAAAAUGGAAUAUCAGGAUCAGACAUUAAAUGAUAUUAUUAUUCUAGUUUUUCUCUUGGCAUGUUUUACCUUCAAACCUGUGUUCCUGGGCUGGGUGGUGGCUCAGCAGUGGAGA